rnacentral:tRNA from 2 species
GCGAGUGUAGCUCAGUUGGUUAGAGCUUCUGAUUGUGGUUCAGAAGGUCGCGGGUUCGAGUCCCGUCACUCGCC